rnacentral:rRNA from 1 species
CCUACGGGAGGCAGCAGUAGGGAAUCUUCCGCAAUGGACGAAAGUCUGACGGAGCAACGCCGCGUGAACGAUGAAGGCCUUCGGGUCGUAAAGUUCUGUUGUUAGGGAAGAACAAGUGCUAGUUGAAUAAGCUGGCACCUUGACGGUACCUAACCAGAAAGCCACGGCUAACUACGUGCCAGCAGCCGCGGUAAUACGUAGGUGGCAAGCGUUGUCCGGAAUUAUUGGGCGUAAAGCGCGCGCAGGCGGUUUCUUAAGUCUGAUGUGAAAGCCCCCGGCUCAACCGGGGAGGGUCAUUGGAAACUGGGAAACUUGAGUGCAGAAGAGGAAAGUGGAAUUCCAAGUGUAGCGGUGAAAUGCGUAGAGAUUUGGAGGAACACCAGUGGCGAAGGCGACUUUCUGGUCUGUAACUGACGCUGAGGCGCGAAAGCGUGGGGAGCAAACAGGAUUAGAUACCCUGGUAGUCCACGCUGUAAACGAUGAGUGCUAAGUGUUAGAGGGUUUCCGCCUUUAGUGCUGAAGUUAACGCAUUAAGCACUCCGCCUGGGGAGUACGGUCGCAAGACUGAAACUCAAAUGAAUUGACGG